CUUUGGCUAUCACUUUUGGAUGGUCCCGCGGCGUAUUAGUUAGUUGGUAAGGUAACGGCUUACCAAGACAAUGAUACGUAGCCGACCUGAGAGGGUAAUCGGCCACAUUGGGACUGAGACACGGCCCAAACUCCUACGGGAGGCAGCAGUAGGGAAUCUUCCACAAUGGACGAAAGUCUGAUGGAGCAACGCCGCGUGAGUGAAGAAGGGUUUAGGCUCGUAAAACUCUGUUGUUAGAGAAGAACACAUAUGAGAGUAACUGUUCAUCUUUUGACGGUAUUCAACCAGAAAGCCACGGCUAACUACGUGCCAGCAGCCGCGGUAAUACGUAGGUGGCAAGCGUUGUCCGGAUUUAUUGGGCGUAAAGCGAGCGCAGGCGGUUUUUUAAGUCUGAUGUGAAAGCCUUCGGCUUAACCGAAGAAGUGCAUCGGAAACUGGGAAACUUGAGUGCAGAAGAGGACAGUGGAACUCCAUGUGUAGCGGUGAAAUGCGUAGAUAUAUGGAAGAACACCAGUGGCGAAGGCGGCUGUCUGGUCUGUAACUGACGCUGAGGCUCGAAAGCAUGGGUAGCGAACAGGAUUAGAUACCCUGGUAGUCCAUACCGUAAACGAUGAAUGCUAAGUGUUGGAGGGUUUCCGCCCUUCAGUGCUGCAGCUAACGCAUUAAGCAUUCCGCCUGGGGAGUACGACCGCAAGGUUGAAACUCAAAGGAAUUGACGGGGGCCCGCACAAGCGGUGGAGCAUGUGGUUUAAUUCGAAGCAACGCGAAGAACCUUACCAGGUCUUGACAUCCUUUGCCCAUCGUAGAGAUAAAACUUUCCCUUCGGGGACAAAGUGACAGGUGGUGCAUGGUUGUCGUCAGCUCGUGUCGUGAGAUGUUGGGUUAAGUCCCGCAACGAGCGCAACCCUUAUUACCAGUUGCCAGCAUUUAGUUGGGCACUCUGGUGAGACUGCCGGUGACAAACCGGAGGAAGGUGGGGAUGACGUCAAAUCAUCAUGCCCCUUAUGACCUGGGCUACACACGUGCUACAAUGGACGGUACAACGAGUUGCGAACUCGCGAGGGUAAGCUAAUCUCUUAAAGCCGAUCUCAGUUCGGAUUGUAGGCUGCAACUCGCCUACAUGAAGUCGGAAUCGCUAGUAAUCGCGGAUCAGCACGCCGCGGUGAAUACGUUCCCGGGCCUUGUACACACCGCCCGUCACACCAUGAGAGUUUGUAACACCCAAAGUCGGUGGGGUAACCU
rnacentral:rRNA from 1 species